rnacentral:misc_RNA from 1 species
UCCGGUUCUUCACCAGCAGUCUCCUUAGAGUCCCCGCCAUGACGCGCUGGUAACUAAGGAUAAGGGUUGCGCUCGUUACGGGACUUAACCCAACAUCUCACAACACGAGCUGACGACAGCCAUGCAGCACCUGUCUCUAGGUUCCUUGCGGCACUCCCGCAUCUCUGCAGGAUUCCUAGGAUGUCAAGGGUAGGUAAGGUUCUUCGCGUUGCAUCGAAUUAAACCACAUGCUCCACCGCUUGUGCGGGCCCCCGUCAAUUCCUUUGAGUUUUAACCUUGCGGUCGUACUCCCCAGGCGGAGAACUUAUCGCGUUAGCUUCGAUACUAAUAGGUCAUGCCUACCAACAUCUAGUUCUCAUCGUUUACAGCGUGGACUAC